rnacentral:rRNA from 1 species
AUACGGAGGGUGCGAGCGUUAAUCGGAAUUACUGGGCGUAAAGGGUCCGUAGGCGGUCUGCUUAGUCUGAUGUGAAAGCCCCGGGCUUAACCUGGGAAUGGCAUUGGAUACUGGCGGACUAGAGUCUGGUAGAGGGUGGUGGAAUUCCCGGUGUAGCGGUGAAAUGCGUAGAUAUCGGGAGGAGCACCAGUGGCGAAGGCGGCCACCUGGACCAAGUCUGACGCUGAGGGACGAAAGCGUGGGGAGCAAACAGGAUUAGAUACCCUUGUAGUCC